ensembl:lncRNA ABCC13 ATP binding cassette subfamily C member 13 (pseudogene)
GGUAGGACUGAAAGGCAGGGACUAAGGUGACAGCUGACUCUGCCGGGGCGGAGUGCGUGUCCUCCCACCGUGCUGGCGCUGAACUGACUGUCCGCUGCCAAGGGAAGUGACAGCCGCAGCCGGGCUCUCAGCCAGCGGCCAGGCGCCCCGCGGACCAUGCUCUCCAGUACGCAGAACGCGGGCGGCUCCUAUCAGCGGGUCCGCGGGGCGCUUGAUACACAGAAAUGCAGUCCAGAGAAAAGUGCCUCAUUUUUCAGUAAAGUGACAUAUUCCUGGUUUAGCAGAGUAAUUACUUUAGGCUAUAAGAGACCUUUGGAAAGAGAGGAUCUUUUUGAACUAAAGGAAAGUGAUUCCUUCUGCACUGCGUGUCCCAUCUUUGAAAAACAAUGGAGAAAGGAAGUUUUAAGGAAUCAAGAGAGGCAAAAAGUAAAGGUAUCUUGUUAUAAAGAGGCACAUAUCAAGAAACCAUCUCUACUCUAUGCAUUGUGGAACACCUUUAAAUCCAUCCUGAUUCAAGUUGCCUUAUUCAAAGUGUUUGCUGAUAUUUUGUCCUUCACUAGCCCACUCAUAAUGAAUUAUACCAGAAAAGUUAAUUAUUUGAUGGGCCUGCCAUGUGAAAACCAGAAAAUAACCUCGUACUCACAAGCCAGUGGAAGGGAUUCCUGAUUUUACUAAAAAAAAAAAAAAAA